UAUUCAUCUCAAUCUCUGGCAUAAGAACAAAAUGGGAAACAUGGUCAAACCAUAGCAGAGAAAGGGAAAUGAACAGCUAUUAAAUUUAAGGAAACAGCAUACAAAUUAGGCAAAUAAAACAACAGACCUAAAGAUUGGGAACAGUUAAGAUUUCGGCAAAGGGAUUUAAUAACAGGAGAAAGCAAAAUGAGUACGGUUGCAGGGACCAUUCAAACCAAUAGCACUCUUUUUUUUUUGUUAUUCAUUCACAGGAUAUGGGCAUUGCUGGCUCGGCCAGAAUUUAUUGCCCAUCCGUGAUUCCCCAGAGGGCUGUCCAGAGUCAACUGCAUUGCUGUGGGACUGGAGUAACGUAACGUACAGGCCAGACCGGGGACGUGGCAAGGGAGAAUUCACAGACAGGCAGCUCAAGUCAAACAUUGGAUCAAGAGCUGCAGGUAACACUCAGUCCUCAGGAGCUUUGAACAUGGAAGGUAAAAGCAACGUUCACAGUGAAGAGAAGCCAUACACGUGGUCUGUGUGGACAAGCCUUCAGUCAAUUGUCUGGCCUGUCGAUACGUAAAUGCAGUCAAAACAGAGUGACAACAAUGACAUCAAGCAGCACUUGCUUUGUAAUGUCAUGGUCAUGGAUCUCAGUUUGAGUUCAGCCAGAGCCACUCAGCUCCUGGUCUCCUUACAAUCUUGGUGCAAACAUGGACCAAACAGCUGAAUUCCAAAUGUGAGAGGGACUAUCCGCUAUCUUAAGGCUCCAUUUGACACGGCAUUGUAUUAAGGAAUCAUAACAAAGCUAAAGUCAAUGGGAACGAGAGGAUGUUAUUCUUCCUUAGAUAGCUGGUUUUUGAAAAGAUUGCAUCUUCAGACCUCGGUAGAUCAAAACAAGGUGAAUUUAAUCAAACUUGUACCACAGACAUGUGGAAGAGGUCUCGAAGUCUAGCUUGGAGACACUCAACUUUUUACAGCUCAGUACAGCAUAUUAAGACACCUUCGUGUCAGAAUGGUUGCACGUAACAUUGGUAUUAAAUAAAUUGUAUGUCAGUUACUUACUACAAA